rnacentral:rRNA from 1 species
UUCGAAGGGGGCUAGCGUUGCUCGGAAUCACUGGGCGUAAAGGGUGCGUAGGCGGGUCUUUAAGUCUGGGGUGAAAUCCUGGAGCUCAACUCCAGAACUGCCUUUGAUACUGAAGAUCUUGAGUUCGGGAGAGGUGAGUGGAACUGCGAGUGUAGAGGUGAAAUUCGUAGAUAUUCGCAAGAACACCAGUGGCGAAGGCGGCUCACUGGCCCGAUACUGACGCUGAGGCACGAAAGCGUGGGGAGCAAACAGG